rnacentral:rRNA from 1 species
UUUUUUGAUUUUAAUUUAAGAUCAGGCCUGCCCAUUGAUUUUUAAGAAUUAAAAGGCUGCGGUAUUUUAACUGUACGAAGGUAGCAUAAUCAUUUGUCUUUUAAUUGGAGGCUAGUAUGAAUGGUUUGAUGAGAUAUAAUCUUUCUUUAUUUAAUUUAAAUGAACUUAAUUUUUCAGUUAAAAAGCUGAAAUUUUUAUAUAGGACGAGAAGACCCUAUAGAAGUUGACUUUAUUUAUUAAUUUUUGUUUUUUGUUUAUAUAACUAUAUUUUAGAAUAUAAAGUUUUGUUGGGGUGACAUUAAAAUUUAAUUAACUUUUAAUUUUUUUUUCAUUAAUUUAUGUUUAUUUUGAUCCAUUAUUUAUGAUUAAAAGAUUAACUUACCUUAGGGAUAACAGCGUAAUUUUUUUGGAGAGUCCAUAUC